UACGGAGGGUGCAAGCGUUGUUCGGAAUUAUUGGGCGUAAAGCGUACGUAGGCGGCCAAGUGUGUCGGGUGUGAAAGCCCACGGCUCAACCGUGGAAUUGCAUUCGAAACUGCUUGGCUAGAGUUUUGGAGAGGAUGGUGGAAUUCCCAGUGUAGAAGUGAAAUUCGUAGAUAUUGGGAGGAACACCGGUGGCGAAGGCGACCAUCUGGACAAUAACUGACGCUGAGGUACGAAAGCGUGGGGAGCGAACAGG
rnacentral:rRNA from 1 species